UACCAGCACCCCGAGUGGUCGGGACGUUUAUUGGGCCUAAAGCAUCCGUAGCCGGUUCUACAAGUCUUCCGUUAAAUCCAGCUGCUUAACAGAUGGGCUGCGGAAGAUACUAUGGAGCUAGGAGGCGGGAGAGGCAAGCGGUACUCGAUGGGUAGGGGUAAAAUCCGUUGAUCCAUUGAAGACCACCAGUGGCGAAGGCGGCUUGCCCGAACGCGCUCGACGGUGAGGGAUGAAAGCUGGGGGAGCAAACCGG
rnacentral:rRNA from 1 species